AAGGUUAUUAGAUAUACAAACAAAUCUUAAAUAAACAUGAAGAACGAACGUAUUUUAAACUGUAUGUAACUAAAUUUACGUAGAUGGCUAGAUGCCACAACCACAAGUGAUCUUAUAAGAACACCUAAACUUGUAAAACGCCAAAACAAUUUGACCUAAAGAAUCAUAUGUUAUUGAAGAGCGGCAAAAACAUUAUGGUAGUUCAAAUAUUUGUUUAUAUAUAUGGAAACAAAUCUUCGUCAGUUUUCGAAAGCUAAAAUCAUAAUUUUUUCUUACAAAUAGAGUGUUUAAAUACAGUUUUCAAAAUAGUCACAUCGUAUGAGUUACGAGUAGCUGUAUCAAGGAGAUAUUUAUCGUGUGGUAUUUCAUAGAUAUUUGAUAAUAUGUGGUUUAAAUUUAUUUUACAAAAUAACUAGUGACAAAAACAAGAGAAAAAUAUAUUAUUGAUAUUAGAAAAUAAUUUGACUUGAGCACGGGAAUAAAUAAAUAAAAAAGAAUGAUCAAAAGAUAAGCAACAAGAAUCUGAGAAUCUAUUACCAGUCACCACCUGUUCUCCUGUUUCUGUUGGAUUCCAAACUCUCACUUUCACUGCCCCCUCGUGUCUAGGUCCCACCUUUGUGUUCCACUCAACCCAACAGUGUAUCCUCUCUUCUCCCUCCAUAAAUUAAUUUAUUUCUAGUCACAUUUUCUUAUUACCAAACCACAGAAAAAAAACAGAGUAACAAAGAACAGAGUAUCCUCUCUUCGAAAUUUUGAAUUUUAUUAGUGUAUUUAUUAUAUAUGUUUACCGGCGAUGCCAACGGCGGUAAACGUGGCGAAGCAAUGCUUAACGGCGGAAUCAUCCUACGCGCUAGAAGAAGCAGUCAAAGUAGCGCGUCGUCGAGGACACUCUCAAACGACGUCGCUUCACGCCGUCUCCGCUUUACUCUCGCUCCCAACCUCCGUCUUACGCGACGCGUGCGCGCGUGUCCGAAACUCUGCUUGCUCUCCUCGUCUCCAGUUCAAAGCUCUUGAUCUCUGCCUCAGCGUUUCACUAGACCGGAUCCAACCGGGUCAACAACAACAACAACCCGGAUCAGAUGAUCCGCCCGUUUCGAACUCUCUCAUGGCUGCUAUCAAACGCUCUCAGGCUCACCAGCGCCGUCUCCCUGAGAACUUCAGGAUGUACCAAGAGAUGAUGUCGUCUCAGAACCAGAGCUCGAACUCGCUCUCUUGCGUGAGAGUGGAGCUUCGUCAGCUGAUUCUCUCGAUCCUGGAUGAUCCGGUUGUGAGUCGGGUGUUCGGUGAAGCGGGUUUCCGGAGCUCCGAGUUAAAGCUCUCGAUUAUCAGGCCCUUCCCUCACCUUCUCCGUUACUCAUCACGACAACAACAGCCUAUGUUCCUAUGUAACGUAACCGGAAAUUAUACCGAACCGGAAUUGAACCCGGUUCGAUGGGGUUAUAACGUACCGAACCGGAAUCUCGCGGGAGAUUCUGAUCACCGGAGGAUCAGCGCGGUUUUCACGAGGGACAAAGGGAGGAACCCUCUGCUUGUGGGUGAAUCGGCUCACAGUGUCUUAACCGGUUUCUUAAGUUCGCUGGAGAACCGAACCGACGGUUUAAGCACGGUUAGCCUCAGUACAGAAAUUUCGGACCAAGUCAACGUCAAGUUCGAUAAAACCUACACGGACGCGAGGUUUCGCGAACUGGAGAAGGUGGCUGAGAAAGGUUCAGGACCUGGCUUAGUCUUGAGCUACGGAGACCUGAGGGUUUUCAUAGACGGCGAUGGGAACGGGUCGGCGGCGAGUUACAUCGUGAGUCGUGUUGCUGAGCUGUUACGGAGAUCAGGGAGGAGAGUGUGGUUGAUCGGAGCGGCGACGAGCAACGACGUUUACGAGAAGAUGAUGAAGAAGUUUCCGAACAUGGAGAAAGAUUGGGAUCUGCAGUUACUCACCAUCACUACAACUACUCUUAGGUCUUGUCUGCCUCACCACAAGUUCAGUUUGAUGGGAUCUUUUGUUCCAUUUGGUGGAUUCUUCUCAACUCCUUCUGACCUAAAACUACCCUUCUCCGGUUUCAACAAAGAAACCACCGAACCGGUUUCUUCAAUAUCCGAUCAGACCCAAUCUAUCUUGCCACCUUGGUUGCAGAUGACCACAAGAACCGACUUAAACCAAAUAUCUGGUUCCAAGAUUCCCUCAAUGCAGACCACAGAAGGGUUGGAGUCAGUUUGUGGAACUAAGUCGACGAUCAGUGCUUCUGCUUCGACCGGUUCAGCUAAAUCGAUCACGACUGAUCUAAAUGCGAAGAUGUGUCCGGUCACCACAGGAUUUGGUCUCAAUAAUUAUUUGGAUGACAAAGAUGUUGCUCAUCCACGAUCUUCAUCAAGGGAUCUCAACGUAGAGAGCUUCAAGAUUAUAUACCAAAGACUAACCGAUAGGGUUUCAUGGCAAGAUGAAGCUGCUAGAGUUAUCAGCUCCGCAUUGUCACAACCGCCUAGGGUUACCACUAGAAGAGACGUUUGGCUCCAUUUGGUUGGCCCUGAUACCGUAGGCAAGAGGAGAAUGUCGCUUGUGCUUGCUGAGAUUAUGUACCAAAGUGAGCACAGAUUCAUGCCCGUUGAUCUUGGUGUUACGUGUGAUGAUGUGAUGCGGCAGAGAGGAAAGACAAUGGUGGAUCAUAUCUUUGAGGUGUUGUGUAGGAACCCUUUCUGUGUAGUGUUCCUUGAGAACAUUGACAAAGCGGACGAGAAGCUUCAGAUGAGCUUGUUGAAGGCUAUUGAAACGGGAAAGUUUAUGGAUUCUCAUGGGAGAGAAGUCGGAAUAGGAAACACCACGUUUGUUAUGACGUCAUCUUCAGUAGAUGAUUCUGGAACAAUAGCCACUUAUUCUGAAGAGAAACUCUUGAGAGCAAAGGGAAGGCAAGUGGAGGUAUGGAUUGAAACUGUGUCCAUGUUACCAAAUGUGAGAACGGUUUCUAGGCUUAGAUCGGUGAAAAAGAGGAAGAUGAUAGGCUUGAGGGAUACUCAGGACAAGAAUGAGAUUCUAGAAACGGGAAAGCAGGUGAACAGAACAAGUAAUGGAGUUCUUGAUCUGAACCUUCCGGCCCAAGAAACCGAAACCGAAGAUUGUGAAGACCACUCAAAGCUUUGGUUAGUGAACUUGAAGAAACAUGACCGUCUCACUGAGGUUCCUUUUAAGCCUUUCGACUUUGAAGAGUUAGCAGAAAGGAUAAAAAAGAGCGUAAAAGAAAUUUUUGAAAAGUGCGUGGGAUCAUCAGAUUGUUCGCUGGAAAUUGAUCCUAAGAUCAUGGAAAGAUUACUAGCGGCUGUUUAUUUCUCUGACAGUAGAAAAUAUAUCAUCAAAGAGUUGAUGGAGAAAGUAAUGGCUCGAGUGUUCUUGCAUGUUAAAGAAAGGUAUGAAAUCACUUCUUGUUCGGUAGUAAAACUACUUGGUCGAGAUCUUGACGUUUUGGGUGAGGAUGAAAUGGAUUUGUUCCUUGUAAAAUCUCAGUAGGAUAAAAGGUAGUUGUGAAGUUUAUUUGGAAAGUGUAUAAGAUAAGGUAGAGUUGGUUAUAGGUAUUAUUGUCAUUAUGUCUUGCUAUACUAUUAAAAUGUGUGUUAUGAUGUAUCAUAUAGUUGUGAGUGGGUCGACUCGUGUCCUUGUUUGUAUGUACAAGUUUCUGUAAAUUAAUAGUUGCUUUCAUAUAUGUUUCAAACCAAUAGAGCUUUUAAAAA